rnacentral:tRNA from 1 species
GGGCCCGUGGCUUAGUCAGGCAGAGCGGUAGACUCUUAAUCUAUCGGUCGGGGGUUCAAAUCCCUUCGGGCCCG